rnacentral:sRNA from 1 species
AGGCGAUCAUGGUCGGCUUGUCGGACUUGUGAGCCUCUUCGAUCGCGGCGGCGAUCGCUUCGGGAUCAUGGCCGUCGACGGCGAUCGU